CCUACGGGUGGCAGCUCAGGAGAGAUGACCUCAUCCCCGGUGGAGAUGAUUGCCACGCGCGGUCUUGCAGCCGCCCCGACCUGGGUGAUGCCAAGCGCCAUCAAGCCGCCCAAAUCUUGAGGACGAAGAAGGUGUCCCGCCUCGAACAGCGGGUCACCCUCCUUUACAUCUUCCCCCACACCGAUGACAUUCUCCCCCGGCGCAACUGCGCGCAACACCUCGAUGGUGGAUGCGUCGAGCUUUUGGGUGCGUUCAACCAUCACCACGGCGUCAGCUCCCAUAGGUACCAUACCGCCGGUAUACACGACAGCCGCCUGCGCCGGUCCCACAACCUGUUGAGACGCGCGCCCCAUUGGAACUUCACCGAGAACGUCAAGAUACCCGAGUAGUC
rnacentral:rRNA from 1 species